rnacentral:misc_RNA from 1 species
GACGAGGGGGCGACAACGCAG